CUCGAGGAAGGAGAGUGGAGGGAAGGCAGCUGGAUGUGAAUGAUAGAACUCGGGAAGCUUCGCAAGAGAGAUGAGGUGUAACAUGUCGGAGCGUUACUAGGACUAAACCACCUCUCCCCAGUGUCGGGGAUUAUUGAUACUUAUUGUUCCUAUUAAUUAAGGUCAUUUCGAUACCUCAUAGAGACUUCAUCGGUUUCUGUGAAGGUGGUCAUGACCUUUAACUGGUGGAAAAUAUGGCCACGUACUUAGCAGUUUUGGUAACGUUCCUUUCCCGGAUUGCGGCUGUGACGCUAACGGAACUUAUUGACGAUGGAAUCACUUCCAGUUGCGUUGUUAAACGUCAGUUCCAAUCUCCUUAUGUCACACCCAUUCUGGAUCAAGUUGCGAUAGUAACUGGAUGUAGUAGCCAGGAUAUCACCUCUACUUCUCAGGUAGGUGUUUUAAUCUAUUGAUUAUAAUCUAUAUUAUAUAUACAGAAAUUAUCAAAGUAUCAUAUCAGAUUCAUUCACCGUAUAAAGUACAUGAUCAUAAAUCUUUUAAAUAAUCCGUCCAAUGAAGAUGCAAUCAUAAGUUCUUUAUUUGAU
rnacentral:lncRNA from 1 species